rnacentral:rRNA from 1 species
GAAUUCGCCCUUAGAGUUUGAUCUGGCUCAGGACGAACGCUGGCGGCGUGCCUAACACAUGCAAGUCGAACGGACGAGGAGGAGCUUGCUUCUCCAAGUCAGUGGCGGACGGGUGAGUAACGCGUGAGUAACCUGCCCUUCAGAGGGGGAUAACGUCUGGAAACGGACGCUAAUACCGCAUGACAUAUUUCCAUCGCAUGGUGGAGAUAUCAAAGGAGCAAUCCGCUGAAGGAUGGACCCGCGUCCGAUUAGAUAGUUGGCGGGGUAACGGCCCACCAAGUCGACGAUCGGUAGCCGGACUGAGAGGUUGAACGGCCACAUUGGGACUGAGACACGGCCCAGACUCCUACGGGAGGCAGCAGUGGGGGAUAUUGCACAAUGGGCGAAAGCCUGAUGCAGCAACGCCGCGUGAGGGAAGACGGUUUUCGGAUUGUAAACCUCUGUUCUAAGUGACGAACAAAUGACGGUAGCUUAGGAGAAAGCCCCGGCUAACUACGUGCCAGCAGCCGCGGUAAUACGUAGGGGGCAAGCGUUGUCCGGAAUUACUGGGUGUAAAGGGAGCGCAGGCGGAGAAGCAAGUCAGUGGUGAAAACGAUGGGCUUAACUCAUCGACUGCCAUUGAAACUGUUUCCCUUGAGUGAAGUAGAGGCAGGCGGAAUUCCGAGUGUAGCGGUGAAAUGCGUAGAUAUUCGGAGGAACACCAGUGGCGAGGGCGGCCUGCUGGGCUUUAACUGACGCUGAGGCUCGAAAGUGUGGGGAGCAAACAGGAUUAGAUACCCUGGUAGUCCACACUGUAAACGA